CAGCCGCCGCGGUAACACAGAGGGUGCAAGCGUUAAUCGGAAUUACUGGGCGUAAAGCGCGCGUAGGUGGUUUGUUAAGUUGGAUGUGAAAUCCCUGAGCUUAACUUAGGAAUUGCAUUCGAUACUGGGAAGCUAGAGUAUGGGAGAGGAUGGUAGAAUUCCAGGUGUAGCGGUGAAAUGCGUAGAGAUCUGGAGGAAUACCGAUGGCGAAGGCAGCCAUCUGGCCUAAUACUGACGCUGAGGUACGAAAGCAUGGGGAGCAAACAGGAUUAGAUACCCCCGUAGUCCCUGUCUCUUAUAC
rnacentral:rRNA from 1 species